GACGAACGCUGGCGGCGUGCUUAACACAUGCAAGUCGAACGGAAAGGCCCUGCUUUUGUGGGGUGCUCGAGUGGCGAACGGGUGAGUAACACGUGAGUAACCUGCCCUUGACUUUGGGAUAACUUCAGGAAACUGGGGCUAAUACCGGAUAGGAGCUCCUGCUGCAUGGUGGGGGUUGGAAAGUUUCGGCGGUUGGGGAUGGACUCGCGGCUUAUCAGCUUGUUGGUGGGGUAGUGGCUUACCAAGGCUUUGACGGGUAGCCGGCCUGAGAGGGUGACCGGCCACAUUGGGACUGAGAUACGGCCCAGCCUCCUACGGGAGGCAGCAGUGGGGAAUAUUGCCCAAUGGGCGGAAGCCUGAUGCAGCAACGCCGCGUGCGGGAUGACGGCCUUCGGGUUGUAAACCGCUUUCGCCUGUGACGAAGCGUGAGUGACGGUAAUGGGUAAAGAAGCACCGGCUAACUACGUG
rnacentral:rRNA from 1 species